rnacentral:rRNA from 1 species
AAAAACCCGCACGCCGGAAGACCAAGGGUUCCUGUCCAACGUUAAUCGGGGCAGGGUGAGUCGACCCCUAAGGCGAGGCCGAAAGGCGUAGUCGAUGGGAAACAGGUUAAUAUUCCUGUACUUGGUGUUACUGCGAAGGGGGGACGGAGAAGGCUAUGUUAGCCGGGCGACGGUUGUCCCGGUUUAAGCAUGUAGGCGGAGGUUCCAGGUAAAUCCGGUACCUUAUUAACGCUGAGGUGUGAUGACGAGGCACUACGGUGCUGAAGUAACAAAUGCCCUGCUUCCAGGAAAAGCCUCUAAGCAUCAGGUAACACGAAAUCGUACCCCAAACCGACACAGGUGGUCAGGUAGAGAAUACCAAGGCGCUUGAGAGAACUCGGGUGAAGGAACUAGGCAAAAUGGUGCCGUAACUUCGGGAGAAGGCACGCUGAUAUGUAGGUGAAGUGGUUUACCCAUGGAGCUGAAAUCAGUCGAAGAUACCAGCUGGCUGCAACUGUUUAUUAAAAACACAGCACUGUGCAAACACGAAAGUGGACGUAUACGGUGUGACGCCUGCCCGGUGCCGGAAGGUUAAUUGAUGGGGUUAUCCGUAAGGAGAAGCUCUUGAUCGAAGCCCCGGUAAACGGCGGCCGUAACUAUAACGGUCCUAAGGUAGCGAAAUUCCUUGUCGGGUAAGUUCCGACCUGCACGAAUGGCGUAAUGAUGGCCAGGCUGUCUCCACCCGAGACUCAGUGAAAUUGAACUCGCUGUGAAGAUGCAGUGUACCCGCGGCAAGACGGAAAGACCCCGUGAACCUUUACUAUAGCUUGACACUGAACACUGGUCCUUGAUGUGUAGGAUAGGUGGGAGGCUUUGAAGUGUGGACGCCAGUCUGCAUGGAGCCAUCCUUGAAAUACCACCCUUUAAUGGCUGGUGUUCUAACGUAGACCCGUGAUCCGGGUUGCGGACAGUGUCUGGUGGGUAGUUUGACUGGGGCGGUCUCCUCCUAAAGAGUAACGGAGGAGCACGAAGGUUAGCUAAUCCUGGUCGGACAUCAGGAGGUUAGUGCAAAGGCAUAAGCUAGCUUGACUGCGAGAGUGACGGCUCGAGCAGGUGCGAAAGCAGGUCUUAGUGAUCCGGUGGUUCUGAAUGGAAGGGCCAUCGCUCAACGGAUAAAAGGUACUCCGGGGAUAACAGGCUGAUACCGCCCAAGAGUUCAUAUCGACGGCGGUGUUUGGCACCUCGAUGUCGGCUCAUCACAUCCUGGGGCUGAAGUAGGUCCCAAGGGUAUGGCUGUUCGCCAUUUAAAGUGGUACGCGAGCUGGGUUUAGAACGUCGUGAGACAGUUCGGUCCCUAUCUGCCGUGGGCGCUGGAGAAUUGAGGGGGGCUGCUCCUAGUACGAGAGGACCGGAGUGGACGCAUCACUGGUGUUCGGGUUGUCAUGCCAAUGGCAUUGCCCGGUAGCUAAAUGCGGAAGAGAUAAGUGCUGAAAGCAUCUAAGCACGAAACUUGCCCCGAGAUGAGUUCUCCCUGACUCCUUGAGAGUCCUGAAGGAACGUUGAAGACGACGACGUUGAUAGGUCGGGUGUGUAAGUGUAGCGAUACAUUGAGCUAACCGAUACUAAUGAACCGUGAGGCUUAACCUU